AUGUCUUAUGGAGGUCGGCUAGUGCUGAUUAACUCGGUACUGACUAGUAUGCCGAUGUUCCUAUUAUCGUUCUUUGAAAUUCCGAAAGGGGUACGGAAGCGACUUGAUUUCUUCAGAUGUCGUUUCUUCUGGCAGUCAGAUGAGGUCAAGAGGAAAUACCGUCUCGCGCGAUGGGAUAUACUUUGCAGACCAAAAUAUUAG
rnacentral:rRNA from 1 species